rnacentral:rRNA from 1 species
AUGGGGAGAGCGCCGUGCUGCGAGAAGGACGGUCUGAAGCGGGGCGCGUGGAGCCCCGGGGAGGACCAGCGGCUGGCCGACUACAUCGCGCGGCAUGGCCACCCCAACUGGCGCGCCCUCCCCAAGCACGCAGGGCUUCUGCUGUGCGGGAAGAGUUGUCGCCUGCGGUGGGUCAACUACCUCAGCCCUGACAUCAAGCGGGGCAACUUCACCGCCGACGAGGAGGACCUCAUCAUCCGCCUCCAUCAGGCCCUCGGCAACAGGUGGUCCGUGAUAGCUGCGCAGCUGCCGGGGCGCACUGACAACGAGAUCAAGAACGUCUGGCACGCGCACCUCAAGAAGAGGCUGGAGGACGGCCUGAAGCCAGCCGCCGAUCAAGACGCCGGCGGCAGUGGCCGGAAGAAGUCACGCAAGCAGGCCAAGGCUAGGAGCGCCACCGUCGACGCUGGUGAGCAGUACACGUCGCCGCCAGGGCAGUCGAGCAGCGGCUUGACGUGCUCCACGGUGACCGAGUCGGCGCCGGCGGUGUCAUCCUCGCCCAGCGAUAACGCCACCAUCACAAGCGCGAGCCACGGCCACCAGCUCGUCAAAGAGGACACCUCCAGCUCGGAGGCGGUCACUGACAACUCUUCAACAGACGUGACGGGAAUGAUAGACCUCGGUGCCAUGGACGAGGAUGUGAGCCUGGUGAUGAGCUCAUCAUCGAAGUGGAGCGAUGACCAGGACUUCUGGAUCAAGAUGCUGCAGGAGGGCGGAGACAUAAUAGACUUGCCAGAGUUGUAA